GAGUAAUUCCCAGCAGAGAGUGCUCUUCCUUUAAUGAUUCCUACACGACCUGAAUCCAGAUUAGUCAGGUACACCAUUAGGAAACGUGGUAGUGAUGAAUGAGAUCCCCCAACCUUAACCAAUUAAGGUUGUAUAGGUUCAAGCUUAUAAAAAGGAGUAAUUCCCAACAGAGAGUUCUUUUCCAUUAAUGAUUCCUACACGACGUAAAUCCAGAUUAGUCAGGUCAGUGAUUUGGAUAUCGAAAAAAAUAUAAGUUAUAGCAAUUAAUUAGGAAAGAUCGAGGAACCUGAUGUCUCUUUGUUAAAUUUAAUAUUAGGUAUACCAUUAGGAAACGUGGUAGGAAUGAAUGAGAUACCUCCAACCUUAACCAAUUAAGGUCGUAUAGGUUCAAGCUUAUAAAAAGGAGUAAUUCCUAGUAGAGAGUGUUUUUCCGUUAAUGAUUCCUACACGACGUGAAUCCAGAUUAGUCGGGUCAGUGAUUUGGAUAUCGAAAAAAAUAUAAGUUAUAACAGUUAACAAGGAAAGGUCGAGGAACCUGAUAUCUCUUUGUUAAAUUUAAUAUCUUCUAGGUUUACUUAAUGUUCAUUCUCGUACUAGAAAAGUCCAGGAAUUCAACCAAUGUUUGAAGUUGCAGUCGAUUGAAAGUGAAGCAAAGUACAAUAAGUCAAUUGAGGCAUCAAGCAACAAUCAAUUUUAUCAUCUCCAAGUCCAAAUGGUGGGAAAGAACUUGUAGUAAUCUUUUGCCAUUAAUUAUAUAUUUUCUUUUUUUAUUAUCUAAUUCCCACUUAAUUUAAUUUGUUGGCAAUUACAUUAGAGUGAGACAUGGCAUAUUACAUUCCAUAUAGAGAGACAAUAGUUAUGGUGAAAAUUAUCAAUUGUUAUGAUGGUGAUCAA